UUCACAACAGAAAAGGUGGGGGAGAGGGGGGGUUAACACUGACACAGAGGUGGAGGAGAGGGGGGGUUAACACUGACACAGAGGUGGGGGAGAGGGGGGUUAACACUGACACAGAGGUGGGGGAGAGGGGGGUUAACACUGACACAGAGGUGGAGGAGAGGGGGGGUUAACACUGACACAGAGGUGGAGGAGAGGGGGGGUUAACACUGACACAGAGGUGGGGGAGAGGGGG